rnacentral:rRNA from 1 species
ACUCCUGCGGGAGGCAGCAGUGGGGAAUAUUGCACAAUGGGCGCAAGCCUGAUGCAGCCAUGCCGCGUGUAUGAAGAAGGCCUUCGGGUUGUAAAGUACUUUCAGCGGGGAGGAAGGCGAUAAGGUUAAUAACCUUGUUGAUUGACGUUACCCGCAGAAGAAGCACCGGCUAACUCCGUGCCAGCAGCCGCGGUAAUACGGAGGGUGCAAGCGUUAAUCGGAAUUACUGGGCGUAAAGCGCACGCAGGCGGUCUGUCAAGUCGGAUGUGAAAUCCCCGGGCUCAACCUGGGAACUGCAUUCGAAACUGGCAGGCUAGAGUCUUGUAGAGGGGGGUAGAAUUCCAGGUGUAGCGGUGAAAUGCGUAGAGAUCUGGAGGAAUACCGGUGGCGAAGGCGGCCCCCUGGACAAAGACUGACGCUCAGGUGCGAAAGCGUGGGGAGCAAACAGGAUUAGAUACCCCAGUAGUCCCAUGAU